rnacentral:pre_miRNA from 1 species
AGGUUGGGAUCAGUGGAAAUGCUGUUUGCCUUUGGUAUUGCACUUGUCCCAGCCUGU